UACGUAGGGUGCAAGCGUUGUUCGGAAUUAUUGGGCGUAAAGAGCUCGUAGGCGGUCUGUCACGUCGGCUGUGAAAUCCCGAGGCUCAACCUCGGGUCUGCAGUCGAUACGGGCAAACUAGAGUAUUGCAGGGGAGACUGGAAUUCCUGGUGUAGCGGUGAAAUGCGCAGAUAUCAGGAGGAACACCGAUGGCGAAGGCAGGUCUCUGGGCCACUACUGACGCUGAGAAGCGAAAGCAUGGGGGAGCGAACAGG
rnacentral:rRNA from 1 species